GACGAACGCUGGCGGCGUGCUUAACACAUGCAGGUCGAACGGAAAGGCCCUGCUUUUGUGGGGUGCUCGAGUGGCGAACGGGUGAGUAACACGUGAGUAACCUGCCCUUGACUUUGGGAUAACUUCAGGAAACUGGGGCUAAUACCGGAUAGGAGCUCCUGCUGCAUGGUGGGGGUUGGAAAGUUUCGGCGGUUGGGGAUGGACUCGCGGCUUAUCAGCUUGUUGGUGGGGUAGCGGCUUACCAAGGCUUUGACGGGUAGCCGGCCUGAGAGGGUGACCGGCCACAUUGGGACUGAGGUACGGCCCAGACUCCUACGGGAGGCAGCAGUGGGGAAUAUUGCACAAUGGGCGGAAGCCUGAUGCAGCAACGCCGCGUGCGGGAUGACGGCCUUCGGGUUGUAAACCGCUUUCGCCUGUGACGAAGCGUGAGUGACGGUAAUGGGUAAAGAAGCACCGGCUAACUACGUG
rnacentral:rRNA from 1 species